GACGAACGCUGGCGGCGUGCCUAAUACAUGCAAGUAGAACGCUGAAGGAGGAGCUUGCUUCUCCGGAUGAGUUGCGAACGGGUGAGUAACGCGUAGGUAACCUGCCUGGUAGCGGGGGAUAACUAUUGGAAACGAUAGCUAAUACCGCAUAACAGUAGAUGUUGCAUGACAUUUGCUUAAAAGGUGCAAUUGCAUCACUACCAGAUGGACCUGCGUUGUAUUAGCUAGUUGGUGAGGUAACGGCCCACCAAGGCGACGAUACAUAGCCGACCUGAGAGGGUGAUCGGCCACACUGGGACUGAGACACGGCCCAGACUCCUACGGGAGGCAGCAGUAGGGAAUCUUCGGCAAUGGACGGAAGUCUGACCGAGCAACGCCGCGUGAGUGAAGAAGGUUUUCGGAUCGUAAAGCUCUGUUGUAAGAGAAGAACGAGUGUGAGAGUGGAAAGUUCACACUGUGACGGUAUCUUACCAGAAAGGGACGGCUAACUACGUG
rnacentral:rRNA from 1 species